rnacentral:lncRNA from 1 species
GCUUCUCGCUGGAGUGCGCACCGAGCGGCAGUGACUUCGCCGCUGCUGUAGUUCCCCGGCUGGAUGCGGUGACUGGUGCCAGUGCUCAGGCGCCCGCUGCCCUUGACCUCCCGCCCCGCGAGCCCUAACUCAGCGCAGGAGGACCGGCUGCCGCCGCCGCCGCCGCCAGAGCCUUGGCUGCCCAGUUGCCAGUCCUACCACGGUCGGAGGUAACCUUCCUGGCUCCAGUCACAUGGCCAGAUAAGGUGGUGUGUGUGGGCAUGAAUUAUGUGGACCACUGCAAAGAACAGAACGUGCCCGUGCCCAAGGAGCCCAUCAUCUUCAGCAAGUUUGCCAGCUCCAUCGUGGGGCCCUAUGAUGAGGUGGUCCUCCCACCACAGAGCCAGGAGGUAGAUUGGGAAGUGGAGCUGGCCGUGGUCAUUGGAAAGAAAGGCAAGCACAUCAAGGCCACAGAUGCCAUGGCCCACGUGGCCGGCUUCACUGUGGCUCAUGACGUGAGUGCUCGUGACUGGCUAACAAGAUGCAAUGGGAAACAGUGGCUGCUGGGAAAAACCUUCGACACCUUCUGCCCUCUGGGCCCUGCCUUGGUGACCAAGGACAGUGUAGCAGAUCCACACAACUUAAAGAUCUGCUGUCGAGUGAAUGGGGAAGUGGUCCAGAGCAGCAACACCAACCAGAUGGUAUUCAAGACAGAGGACCUGAUAGCCUGGGUGUCCCAGUUUGUUACCUUUUACCCAGGGGAUGUCAUCCUGACUGGGACCCCCCCACCUCCACCCAGGUGUCGGUGUAUUCAGGAAACCUCCUGUCUUUCUCAAGGUCUCUGAAGGUCCAGACAGCACUGAUGGCGAGCUUUGGGUCCGCACACUCUGGAAAGAAGAGAGAAGUGAAGGCUCUAGGUAGGGAGAACAGAGAGCCACUGGGCACAGGCUUCUCUCCUCUUGUUUAAAGAAGCCCAGGGAGGGAUAGAGCUCUGACUGGACAGAAGACUGUACUCUGCAGCCUGCCUUCCUAGAGUUGGGUUGUCACUGUCCUGCAGGGGGCAGCAGCCACCAGCAAACACCACUGCCUGCAGGAGCCUGGGCUGACUGGUUGGGACUCACCGAAGAUCCCUUCUUCCUGGGCGGUGGCCUGCAGGAACUGGAACAGCUGCUCUGUGUAGCCCAACUCUGCAGAAGAGAGAAGACCUAGACCUGGCACCCAGCACAGACACAGCCUGCCUCGAGGACUGCAAGGGAACAAGGGCCUCACCAGUAUCGGGCAGCUGGCCCUGGCGGAGGAAGGCGGCAGCCUGUGCAAAGGCCUUGAGCAGCGGGCUGAGCAGGCGGCAGAGGAAAAGAAAGAAAUCUGGGCAGUGUGACUGCUGGCUGAGCUGGAGGGGACAGGCCGGGGUGAGUGCAGCUCCCCACCGCCUCCCUACCACCUCCCUCCAGGGGCAGCUUUUUGAAACACACCCUGAAGUACCGGCCGUCAGCCUCUCCGAAGUCAUCACUGUCACUAUCAGUAAAGUCCCCACUCGGUUUCCACAGCA